rnacentral:rRNA from 1 species
UACGUAGGGGGCAAGCGUUGUCCGGAUUUAUUGGGCGUAAAGAGCGUGUAGGCGGCUUGACAAGUCUGCUGUGAAAACUCGAGGCUCAACCUCGAGACGCCGAUGGAAACCCUCGAACUAGAGUCCGGAAGAGGAGAAUGGAAUUCCUGGUGUAGCGGUGAAAUGCGCAGAUAUCAGGAAGAACACCCGUGGCUAAGGCGGUUCUCUAGUACGGUACUGACGCUGAGGCGCGAAAGCGUGGGGAGCAAACAGG